UGCAAGUCGAGGGGCAGCGGAGAGGUAGCAAUACCUUUGCCGGCGACCGGCGCACGGGUGAGUAACACGUAUGCAAUCCACCUGUAACAGGGGGAUAACCCGGAGAAAUCCGGCCUAAUACCCCAUAAGGAUGUCUGUCCGCAUGGGCGGUCAUCUAAAGGUUUUCCGGUUACAGAUGGGCAUGCGUUCCAUUAGCUGGUUGGCGGGGUAACGGCCCACCAAGCCUUCGAUGGAUAGGGGUUCUGAGAGGAAGGUCCCCACAUUGGAACUGAGACACGGUCCAAACUCC
rnacentral:rRNA from 1 species